rnacentral:lncRNA from 1 species
GGGUCCCAUGAUAUAAGGGUUAAAUAGAAGCAGUUCUCUCCCCUGUCUGUCUUAUCUGGAAUGCCUGUUAGGGUUCAGGAAAACAGGUAAAUUGCAUGAACGUUGAGCUCUUACGGGAAGUAAUUGACCUCACUGCCCCGGAAGCUACAGUGCUUGGCACGCUGGCAUGUGCUUCUCUAAUCCUUUGUGUUCUCGUUAUCCUGAGCAACAUUCUACAAACCUUGUGUACAGUUCCUUGGGGCCAGUUUAUUUCCUUCAGAGGGAUCCUGGAAAGAAAUGAGGAACCCGGAAAGCAAGCUAUAGCCAUGGAGACGGUGGUAAUCCGUCCGGGCCAAGCCACACGCAGGAGGAGCCGCACUAAUUGAUACUCCCGGCAGCACAGGCUUCUUGUUUUAGAUCCCACCGCCGAUUACAAGACCUCGGAAUGCCUUAUCCUUCUCAGAUGCCUGGGCUCUGCCCUGCUAUUUGUUAGGGGACUGGUCUGUUUGUUGAAAUGGAUCCUGUGUUUAUCCGGACCUGCCAUCCUGCCCGCGUGUGCCUCCCGGGUUGGGGCUGGAGCAGGGAGCGGACAGGAGAGGGACAGCUGCGCGCCCAGCUCCGGAGAGCCCUCCCGGGCGCGCAGGACCCCGACAUCGAGGAGUCCGGGUGUCGGCUUAGGGCCGGGGCCGGGGCCGCGGGCGGCUGCGAGGAUGCCCGCGAGCUUCAGAUUCAGUUUCUUCCACAAGGGCCUUUUGUCCCCCGGGAGCCUCUCUGCCCUGCGGAGCGCAGGGGGAGACAACUUUGUCGCUCGGUACAUAGAGUGACGCCGCCAGUGCCCUCGGACGCCCGCGGCCAAGCAGCCCAGCCCACCUGACCGACCCCGACCUCCCGCGCCCCUCCCGCGCCCGCCCUCGGCCAGCCGCCCCUCCCCCGAGGCGUGGCCCCUCGCUGGGCAGCGGGGAGGGUAGCGGGAGUCGGUGGGGCCAACCGGCUCCUUCCUCCUUCCCUCCCGCUCAGGCUCCCGCGGGCCAGCCGGGGACCGCAGCCACGUCUCAAAGCCGCUCAUUGUGUGCGCCCCGGGCGGGCAGCGCAGGUAGAACCGGGCGGGCGCGGGGCGCGCAGAGCCCGGCACCGGAGGGGGCGCCCCGCUGGGUGGGAGGGUCCGCCUCACUUCCCUGCCGUGGCCCCUAGUCACCCCUACCCCCUCCAUCCCCUGCGUACGACCCCCCUCUCCGUCUUACUGCGGCUCCUGCGCUCUUUCCGGCAGCGGAACUCCAGGCGCCUACCAAAUCUCUGGACUCCCGAGCGCGCCUCUGAGAGGCCCCUCCCCGGUGUCGCCGGGUGGCCGCUUGGGACCCAAAGGAACGGUUCAGCCCCUGCCGACUCAAGAAGAGGAACUGGGCGUGGGGUGGAACGUGGAGCAGGACGCUCGGCUGAGCCCCGCCGCGCCGGGUCCCGCGGAGACGCCAAGGUCCGGGACUCGGUGGACCCUCCAGGCAUCCCCCAUGGGUUUGUGACCAGCGUCGCUCGCCCAGCAGCACUGGACAGUGGUGAGUGUCCUGGAGGGGAGGGUCCGGCAGCCGCCAGGGUGCUUUCUCUCCGCUCUCACCUCUGUGCUGCUUUGGCCCCCCGCGCCCCCUCACCUGGUCUCUUGGGUCAAGUGCGCCAGCCCCAGGAGGAUACUCCUGAGUCUGUCCUGCCCUCAGCUCUGCACGCCCUGUAUCUUGUAUCAGCCUGCUUUUCAUGACCUUAACUAAAAUGCCUGAAAGGAGUUUGGGGGGGGGGAGCUUGUUUCGUCUUACAGUUUGAGGCUACAGGCUCAGGCGACCCCACAGCCUGGCAUCUGGUGAUGGCUGGUUACGGUGGGUACGGUGGCAGUGAUCACGCCGUGACACAGGAGGGAGAGAGCAUCUCUGCCACCGCUUCUCUCAAGAGCCACCCCCCGCAGGGCAUGGCGGCAAUGACCCACAGACCCCCAUCCAGCCCCACCUCUGCCCUUGAUCCGUCAAUCCUUAUCACUAUAACUCCAGAGUUUAAACAGCUGCAUCGGUUUUGGAGAGACAAAUCCUCAACCCAUAACACUUCCCAAGAGUGAUGGUAACAGUUGGUCUCUUUGUCUUUUUUUUUUUUUUUUCAUUUUUAUUUAAUUUUACUUUAUCUGAAACAGAGACAGAGAUAGAAGCAUCUUCCAUCUGCUGGUUCACUCCCAAGAUGUCCACAAGAGCCAGGGCUGGGCCAGACUGAAGCCAGGAGCUCAGAAUCCCAUCUGGGUCUCCCACACAGGUGGCAGGGACCCAGCCAUUGAGCCACAUCUGCUGCCUCCCAGGGUGUGCAUUGCCCGGCAGCUGGCUCAGAAGAGGAGGGGCCAGGGCUGGAACCAAGCGCUCACGAUGGCACGUGGGCAAGCGCUCCGUGAUGGCAUGCGGGCGUCGCAAGCAGUGUCUUGACUGCUGCACCAGACACUCACCCCUCUUUGCUAAUUUUUAAUAACAAAGUCAUAGCUGCUUGUUUUAAAAAAAUCACACAGGGGAGGCAUUUGGUACAGAGGUUUCGAGCACCCCAGGGGACGCCCACAUCGUGUUCAAGAUCGCCUCACUCCAGUCCCAGCUCCUGCACUUCCAGUCCUACCUUCCUUCCAGUGUGCACCCUGGGAGGCACAGCCCGGAUCGCAAGUGCUCUGAUCGCUGCCACCCACAUAGGAGACUUCUGCUGGGCCCCGUCUGGGCUGUUGUGGGUAUCUGGGAAGUGAACCAGUGGAUGGAAGAGCUCCCUCUCUCUCCAUCUUUAAAAUAAAUAAGCAGUUAUAAUAAAUAAGUAAAUAAAU